GUCGCAGCAGCUCAGAGAAAAACUCCAGCUUAAACACACGUGGUUGCCGGAGAAGACUGGGGCGGAACCGACCGGAAAGGGAGGGAUGAAGGAACAGAAUGUCAGAGAGUCCUGUCUGCAUUCCAAAAGUCCCAGUCCAAGAGAUGUCAAAAUAUUUGUAUGAUCCAGUUAAAAUCAGGGCAUUGCAUCAGGUUGUAUUAGAAGCCUAAAGAUGAAUAUGAAGCUAUGGUUCCUACCUAG